AUUGAACGCUGGCGGCAGGCCUAACACAUGCAAGUCGAGCGGAUGACGGGAGCUUGCUCCUGGAUUCAUCGGCGGACGGGUGAGUAAUGCCUAGGAAUCUGCCUGGUAGUGGGGGACAACGUUUCGAGAGGAACGCUAAUACCGCAUACGUCCAACGGGAGAAAGCAGGGGACCUUCGGGCCUUGCGCUAUCAGAUGAGCCUAGGUCGGAUUAGCGAGUUGGUGAGGUAAUGGCUCACCAAGGCGACGAUCCGUAACUGGGCUGAGAGGAUGAUCAGUCACACUGGAACUGAGACACGGUACAGACUCCGACGGGAGGCAGCAGUGGGGAAUAUUGGACAAUGGGCGAAAGCCUGAUCCAGCCAUGCCGCGUGUGUGAAGAAGGUCUUCGGAUUGUAAAGCACUUUAAGUUGGGAGGAAGUGCAGUAAGCGUAUACCUUGCUGUUUUGACGUUACCGACAGAAUAAGCACCGGCUAACUCUGUGCCAGCCGCCGCGGUAACAC
rnacentral:rRNA from 1 species